rnacentral:lncRNA from 10 species
AUGUACAUUAAGCAGAAAGUAUACUUGUAAUCAUUGGUAAACUAUACUGCACUGGCCUUCCAUGCAUGCAAUCCACCUCAUUUGAAUUCAUCUGUGUUACUCUGUUUUAUGUGAUUUAUGAUUAAAUUUAAAAUGUACAUCUGGGUAAGGCAGGUGGUGAGGAGGAAUUGAAGGGAGGCUUUGAUUCUGUUUUCCAGACCUCAACCUGAAGGAUGAGGAAAGCUUUGGUUACUGUGGUCCACUUUUCUUUCUUUUUGGUUGAAGUCCAGAUUUGCAAAACAGUGUCUCCAAUGAGUUUUUGUGGAAUUCAUUUAGGGUCAGGGUGACCUUGUUCUGAGAUAGGUUCUGACAUAUUCCAUUUGACACCGUUUCCUUUGCUAAGCAAUCUUUCACCUGCCAAGAAAAGCUCUGCUUCCACACCAAAGCAGGACCUCGAGUUUCAAACUGAGGGGAUGACAGUCAGCAGCUUCCACCAAGACAAACCUGUGUCUGCUUUGCAGGAGCUUGUCAAGAAUCCUGGUGACUAAGGACUGGUUUGAAAAUAACCGGUAUUGUCCACGGGCUGAUCAUAGGAGUUGGUCUUUGGAUGGACAUGCGUCUUGUGACUAUGAGGUGACAAUGAUGUUAAUGACAUCUGAGUGGAAAGAAGAUGAAGCCUAGAUUCCUGAACACAUUCAGACCUGCCACAGCAACCUAGCUCUGAACUCCCUUCAAAAUUUCACUCUUGUGGCCCAGGCUGGAGUGCAAUGGCGUGAUCUCAGCUCACUGCAACUUCUACCUCUCGGAUUCAAGUGAUUCUCCUGCCUCAGCCUCCCAGGUAGCUGGGUUUACAGGAAUGAAAUGGACGUUCUUACUCAUCAUACCAUAAGCAUCCAGGUGAAUGAUUGCUCACUUCUUUCAUCUAAUGAGGAAUUGGCUUUCUUGAGAAUCUCAAUGCAGUGUACCUCCAACCUUAACAGACUGCUGUAAAACACCCUGACCAUUCUUUAGUAUAAGCACUGAAGAAGACAGUAUGUUGACCACGAGGCACCUGGCCUGGCUCAUAGUAUGCCAUCAAGAAAUGCUAAUUUUCUAUUUCCUCUUUUUCAAAGAGUUAUUUCAAGAAAGAAAGGAGAGGAGAGGAUGUUACAAAUUCCAUGUAAAUAAAAUUUGUCACUAAUUCUGUGAACUAAUUGAUAUCAUAAUUUGAUUCUCUUACCUCUUUUUAAUCUCUCUAUUAGUCCAUUUUUAUGCUGUGAAUAAAGACAUACCUGAGACUGGGCAAUUUACAAAAGAA